GUACGUUCUAUGAGUUUUUAUACAGUGGUUUCUUCUUGCUGUCCGUUUUGCACAGUUUUAAUGAAUAUGGCUUUUUGCUCAUACUCUCAGUUCGUAGGCGGGGCGUGUUUCGCUAGUCAAGACAACCCUGAUAUAGUGCAGUGCGUGAAUAUCACAAACUGCACUCAAGAUAUCAAGAAGCAUCUCCGUUUUAUCGCUAAAUUACGAAGCAAAGCUGCUUCUGGCCAGUGCAGGUUUGUUUGACCCUGAAGGAAAAUACACAAAGCUCCCUAUCUGCCCAAGCCACCGCAAUGCACAUGGCGCAUCAGAUGGCGCAGUAAUCGUAAAAACUGCUGCUGCCUAGUAUUUUGGCCAGUCACCGGAGCCGCUCUAAGCGGAAAGUGGGAUAUCCGUCGACAGCGCAAGAUCCAGAUAUCCCGUGGACAGCGCCAGAUCCAGAUUUUCCUGUUUACAGCGCCAGAGUCAGAUCCCCCCGUGGACAGCGCCAGAGCGAAAACCUCCGAACCAUACCCCCCGUGGACAGCCCCCGAACCAUAUACCCCCGUGGAUAGCGCCAAAGCCGGUCCCCCCAUGGACAGCCCCAGAGCAAGAUCCCCCCGUGGACGGCGCCUGAUCAAGAUUUCCUUGUUGACAGAGCCAGAGCCAGAUACCACGGUGGACAGCGCCAGAGCCAGAUACCCCCGUGGACAUUGCAAGAGCCAGAUCCCCCCGUGGACAGCGCCAGAGCCAGAUCCCCCGUGGCACAGCGCCACAGCAAGAAACCCCCAUGGACAGCGCCAGAGCAAGAUCCCCCCGUGGACAGCGCCAGAGCAAGAUCGCGCCGUGGGCAGCGGCACAGCAAGAAACCCCCAUGGACAGCGCCAGAGCAAGACUUCCCCCCCCCCGUGGACAGCGCCAGAGCAAGACCCCCCGUGGAUAGCGCCAGAACCAGAUUUCCUUAUUGACAAAGGCAGAGCCAGAUAUCACGGUGGACAGAGCCAGAGCCAGAUACCCCAUGGACAGCGCAAAAGCCAGAUCCCCACGUGGACAGCACCAGAGCCAAAUCCCCACGUGGAGAGCGCCAGAGCAAGAUCCCCACGUGGACAGUGCCAGAGCAAGAUCCCCCCGUGGACAGCGCCAAAACCAGAUUUCCUUAUCGACAGAGCUAAAGCCAGAUAUCACGGUGGGAAGCGCUAGAGCCAGAUACCCCGUGGACAGCGCAAAAUCCAGAUCCCCCCAUAGAGCGCUGGAUUCUUCCAUGUAGAUCUGAUUGUGUACUGUACAGAAUGAUUUCCUCUGUGACAUAUACAUUAAUUUUUGGGGCUUUCAAACUAUUGUGAUAUUUUGUGGUUAUUCAUAGUGCGUCAAUGUUAAAAAUGUUUUACCUGUACCGGCCAGAACCAGCUUUGGUGAAUCUCUCACCCCUAAGGAACGGAGAUGCUUCUUGAUGUCUUGUGUGCAGUUUGUGAUUUUCAGGCACUGCACUAUACCAGGGUUGUCUUGACUAGCGCAACACUCCCCGCCUACGAACUGAGAGUAUGAGCAAAAAGCCAUAUUCUCACUAAAACUGUGCAAAACGGACAGCAAGAAGAAACCAGUGUAUAAACACUCAUAGAACGUACCUGGUACUGGUAUGAAAAACUUCUGUUUAUUACCAACUUUCAAUUUCAAACAAGAUGUGUAACUUCCGCUCCGCAUUGAAAUAAAAUCCAUCAUUCGAUAACUUCGAUGGCUUACAAUUUCAAGCAAUCCUUACGGUUGGACAUUAUUUAUUUUAUUCUAUUCCAAAAUAAGGAAUCAGAUUUUUUGAUGAGGGGCUCUUUCUGUUUUCUCUCUUUUUUUGCAUUGUGUUUGAGAAACUUUGGGACUCCUGUGUGCACUGCCGGUCACGUGGAAGCACCAUGAAAAACAUUCCGAGAUCGCAAGCCGAAGCGAGUUAAAAGGGAUUUUAUUCGUUUGUAGAGGAACAAGCAUUGAUAAAAAAACGAUGCCUAUCAAGUACUUUCCCAAGCUGAGCGUUGUUUCGAGGUGGGAGCGUCGGCAAAAGCCAAAUUUCCCUGCCAAUUCAGAUGUUGGUGUCACAGUUAGCCUAAGUUUGAAAGGUCAAUAACCUGUGAAGUGUUGUAUCUUCUUGGCGCUCUCAGCGCUCCGGAUUUUAUUAUCCCCAAAAUUUUAUUUCAGAUUCUAGGCAAGUAAGUGACUGUCUUUUCAGGAAAAAUGACCAUUUUUGAUAGAGCAAUGUACCAGAUGCGACUUUUAAGGCCUCAAUUUGUCGGUUUGACGAUCGUGCAAAAUGAUGGAUGCGAGGCUAUAUUUGAGAAAAUCUGUCAAAUAUUCUUUUUUAACUGGAUUAAGCUAAGAUUAAAAUAAUAUUGAGAGCAUA